AGACUCCACAAGACCCCUGUCUUACCUGCUUCUCAUGAGUGACCAGAGAAGGACUGUCGAAAUUUGUUGAUUCUGGACCAUUCUUUUGCAAUUAGCUAAAAAGUAAAUAUUAAGGGAGAUUGUCCAUUUAAGCAGAAGCCUGCAGUCCAUUUUUAAUUGGUAUUUUAAACCAUCAAAUCCGUCAAUGUCAGUGCAUAUAUUUAACCAGAGUGAAAUUGUUCAAUUGUAGAUAGAAAUGAAUUUGCAAACCAGCAUUUCUUUGUGUGCCGUUUAUUUUAAAAUGUCAAUUUGUGAGUGUUGUUUGUUUGCCUGUUAGCUGGUUCAGAUAAUGUUCUGAUUUUUUUUAAUGCUGCAUUUGCUCAUUAGAUUUAGAAACAUGGAUGGUUCUUAAAGUCUCUGGAAAUCAAAUCUUAAUGGAUGUACAAAUUUGUAUUACUGUAAAUAUCCUGUGCAAUCUUCAAAGUGACUUUUUAUAUAAAGAAAAACAAUCCCUGGACUAUCAGUGCUACGGCUUGCAGUAAAAUGAAGUCUUCCCUUGGAUUUUCAGUGUUAGUUAUGUUCAGUUUUUGCAAAAAUAGGCUUUAAAAUUUUGUUUAAAAACCAAGAUGGGAGAAACUCAUUGUGCAUUUUGUACCUUUUAACUGAUAAAUCUGUUUAUCGAUGAUACCCUGUUUGACCAUCUUUAAUAUUUUAUGUUUGAGACACAGUGUUAUGGUAUAAAAUUUGUCAAGGACUCAAAACGGAUGUUGUUGCAUCUGUUGUCUAAUAUAUGCAGCCACUGAUAUUCAUUUCCAUUUCCUGCAAAGCCGGAAAUAAAUUUCUACCCCAUGAUUUCUAUGUGAGCUGAUGUCUGUAUGGUUUGGAUAUAGGUAUUACAAUAGGCCUCAUCUCUGGGCGGGGAAGGAACAGUUAGGGUUGCUGAACUACACUCACUCUCUGCAAUGAUGGUGACAUAGAAUGUACAACAUGGGAUCAGGCCAUUUUCUUUCCUCCUUUCUUCAUGUUCCCCAAACAUAAGUAUUGCUUAGCCAUAGUCCAUAAUGGACCAUCUCUCCAUUAAGGAAAAGCAGUUUAUAUAUAAUUUGAGGGACACCAUAUGCAAUUGUGAGGCAAGGUAAAGAGGUAAGCCUUCAUGUGCAGACAGUACAAGAAUGGAGCCUACACUAUUGGCAUCAUUCAAUAGAAUGCACUAGUCAUCCAGCCAACUCAGCUAAUUGACCUCACCUCAUAUGUCAAGAUAACACCCCCAUCACAACAUCUGUGCUUUUCAUUUAAACAAUUUCAUGUUGCAGAGAAUUCCACUCAUUGUGGUAAAGGCGUUUUUCCUGUAUUCCUUGUUCAGCUUAUUGCAGGUCCUUACAAACAAAAACAGCUUCUCUACAAUCACCCUUUUCAUAAUCUUAAAGGCCACUUAACAAAUCACUUCUUCACUGCAUUUUUUCUAGCCUGUUCAAUAUUUCUUGAUAUGAAUAACCUUGUAUCUCCAAUAUCAUCCUUGCAAAUCAUUUUUCAGUUUCACCAAUGGCACGAUGUACCCUUGAAAAAUAGAGGCCAGAACUCUUCUCUUACAUGGUACCCUCCAUUUAUGUGUUAUGUUCUCUACAAAUUCAAUAUAGUGCCUCUGCUUUCCCUCUAAACAUGAUUCCCACUU